UUUUCUGCCGCCCUCCUCUCUCUUCUUGCUUCAGAGCAACACCCCCACCCCCACCCUGUCACAUGAAUGUACAGUGACGUUAUUCAUAGAUCAACUUCAUUGAGCUCUGGCCAAUACGCUGCCAAUUAUUCUUUCAAAUAGCGUCUUCUCUGUGUUAUCAAAGCCUGAGUAAGAAAGCGGCAGAUCCUCUGGUUUGCCAGACAUACUUUUCUGGUUGCUCACAUCUCUAGUGUCACAACAGGAGCCAGGAAGAGGGGAAUUUGGACACAGAGGCACGGAGAGAAGAAGGCCGUGUGAUGAUGGAGGCAGAGGUUGGAGUGAUGUGGUCACAAGCCAAGGAACCCCAAGAACUGUGAGCCACGAUCAGAAGCCAGUGGAGAGGCACAGAACAGAUUCUCCCUCAGAGUCACCAGAAGGAACCAAUGCUGCCAACAUCUUGAUUUUGGACUUUUAGCUUCCAGAGCUGUGAGAGAAUAAAUUUCUGCCUUUUAAGUCCUCCAAUUUGUGGUGAUUUGUUCUGGAAGCUUUAGACAGUGCCACAGAGAGGAAAACUACGAGCAAAUGACACACUAAGAGUUGCAUUUGACCUGACACCAACAUGGUCUCCCGACCCCUCUGGAGAACACCAUGAGGCAUUAGUUUCUCCUCUCACCGAGGAGUGAACUGAACCCUGAGAGCCAAGCAACUCACCCAUGUCUCUCAGCUGCUGAGUGGCAGAACCAGGGUGCAAGCCUGUGUCUCUGGCUCUGAGACCCAUGCUCCACACAGCCCACCUCUUAUGGAUGGGGUGGAAAUGGGGUGGGAUGAGAGCAGGUAGGGAGAGGAGGGAAGAAGAAGGGGAAAGGGAAAUGGAGAGGGAGUGGGGAGAGUAGGAGGUAGAGACUGUUGGGGAGAGAGAAGGGAAGGUGGAGGGAAUAGGGGAAGAAGAUGAGAGAGUGAGGCAGCUCUAGGCAGUUCCCUCCCCCACUCAAUCUUAGCAAAGGACAGAAGCUCCCCACAGCAUCCCAGGGUACAAGGCCCCUUAGGUAAGUCACUGGUAAUCUUGGCAGGACUGGGUUCUAUGGAAGGGUGUAGGCAAAAGCCCCAGUAGGAUAGAUUUGGGGGAGAAUUGGAGAGAUCAAGAAUAAAUAACUCUUUCAAGGAUUUUUGCUGUAAAUGGGGACUGAAAACCAAGGUGGUAACUGGAGGAGUAUACGGAGUCAAGAGUGGAAUUUUUUUAACAUGGGAAAAAUUAAAGCAUGUUGGUAGGCUGUAGGGAGUGAACUAGCAGAGAGUAACAACAUGAUGAUGGGGGAGAGGAGAACCACUGAUGCGAUGCCCUAGAGUAGGCAAGAGCGGAUAGGGUCCACUGCGCAUGCACAAGGGCUGGCCAUCUUCCAUGGCAGCAGGAGGGGAGUCAUGUUGACACAGACUCUCUGGUGGUAGAAGACGUGCAGCUGGGGAAGUUCUGUUCUGGUUUCUUGUACUUUCUUAGUGGAGUCAUCAGAUGACAGCAAGAAUGAGGAAGGUGGUACCCCUGCAGCUUUGGGAGAGAGGAGGAGUGACACAGUCAUCCAGAUGAGUGGGGCAGUGGAGUGACUGGACUGUCAGGGUAAUACAUGCAUGUCCCUCCAAAAGCUGUUCCAAUGAUUCAGCCUGAACACACACACAAAGUGCUUAGAACAGUGCCUGACAUAACAAACACACAACAAAUAUUAGCUCAUAUUUUUUAUUACUCUUCCUAAAUUAUCUUAAUCUUCAAGAAUAACAUCACAGGGUGGACUGAAGCCCCAGGUGGUCUCCACUUUUAUGUUUCCUGGGAUCAACCCCUGGAAAACAGCCCCUUCAUCUGAAAACCAAUGGAAACUUUGCCUGCCCAGGACAUUUCCUUGCACAUGUCCAGAAAGGAGCCGAUCUGGAAGGCAGCCUUUGCUGGCAGCAGCCAUGGCAGCAGCACACUGUGCUCUGCUGAAAGGAGAGACCACUUAAAUGAGGUAGCUCUUUAUUGGUAAUGACAGUUCCCACUCACCUCGGGAUUUCUUCAGGACCUAGUGUGGCCCUUGUGCUCCCAGUUUCCAGUGACUUUAGGAUGAUGCCACAUGUGGUACAAAUAAUAAAGAAUGGGCCUGGACUGGUGGCUCAUGCCUGUAAUCCCAGCACUUUGGGAGGCCAAGGCAGGCAGAUCACGAGAUCAGGAGAUUGAGACCAUCCUGGCUAACAUGGUGAAACUCCAUCUCUACUAAAAAUACCAAAACAAAAUUAGCGGGGCGUGGUGGCGGGUGCCUGUAGUCCCAGCUACUCAGGAGGCUGAGGCAGGAGAAUGGUGUGAACCUGGGAGGGAGCUUGCAGUGAGCCGAGAUUGCCCCACUGCACUCCAGCCUGGGUGACAGAGUGAGACUCUGUCAAAAAAAAAAAAAAAAAAAAAAAAAAAAAGAAAGAAAAAAAAAAAGAAAAAAAAAAGAAAGAACAAACAGCUACAGAGUGUGCAGACUUGGGGGAUUUCUGUGCAGGGGUCCUUAUUGUAAACUUCCAGCCAUGAGAAUGGGUUAACUGAUGAAUAAAGGUAAAUCAUCCAUGUGGUCACAGGAGCAGGGUGACUGGGGAGAUGUUGGGGAAGAUGGUGCAAUGUACUGAACCAGGAGUCCAAAGGCUUGGGAUGUUAUCCUGGCUCUGCCACAGUGAAACAAGGCACCUUGAAUGAUUAAGAUUCCUUUUGGGUAAACAAGAAUGAUGAUGAGAAUGAAGAAGAUGAAGAUGGUGAUGAUAGCUUUACUCUGGCUCUAAUGAAACACAGUCCCUACAUUUCUGAACUCUGUGCUCCAAAAGGAUGGGGAUUGAAGGAGGCAAGAUUCCUGUGACAGCUGUCUUCUGGGUGCUCUCCCAUAGGCCCUCUCCAUUCUGGACUGCCUCUGUGGGCUUCCUUGCCCUCUGGCUCUAGACUGGAUUCAAUCAUGCAAGACUCCAGCUGGAGAUCAGAAGCCGGGAGGAGCAUGAGGUCAGAUAUUUAGAUGCUAAAUCUAAUGGCCCAUCUUCAGUACUGAAUUUACUAGGCUGUGAGCAUAAAUGGACAUUUGUGAUCACUCCCUCUUUGAAAUGGGUUUGUCUCUGGAUUUAGGGACUUCCUGCUACUACGGGCUUUCCUGCUCCCUCACUGACUUUUCAGAAUUAUUUUUUGAAUUGUCCUCAUUUCUCCAACCUCUCAGCCAGAGGUCUGAGGACCCCAGAGUUCAGAAUUCAGUCUAUUUUCUAUUUAUACUCAUUCCCUAGAUGAACGUAACCAUGGCUCAUUCAAAGCUCAGGACUUUAAGCAUUUAUACAUGCUGAAAAUUUCCAAACUUAUAUUUCCAGCCUGCACCUCCUCCUAUAUUCCUGACUUAUGUUUUCUUCUUAACACUUAUCACUAGCUGAUAUUCUAAAUAUUUUAUUUAUUUUCUCACAGACAAAUGUAAGCUAUACAAGGCCAGAGUCUUCUUUUAAAAACUUUGUACUAGGGAACAUUUCAAAUAUACAAUAAACCCCUGUAUCCAUCAUCAGCUACAACAGUCACCAAUUCCUGGCCACUCUUAUAUAACUUAUACCACCCCCUCCACCAGCAUCGGAUUAAUCUGCAGCAGAUCACAGCCAUCAUAUCAUUUAAUCCAUAAAUACCUUUAUAUAUAUCUCUAAAAGAUAAAGACACAUAAAAUACAGCCCUAGUAAUUCAUUACUAUCAUCAAAUAUCUAGUCAGUGUUCAAAUUUUCCUAGUAGUUUCAUAAACUUUUUUUUACAUACUAGCAUGUAGUUAGAAAAAUAAAUCGUUUAAAAAAUGAAAAACAAUUUUUACUGUAGUAAAUUAUACAAAACAUGAAAUAUACCAUUUUACCCAUUUUUAAGUGUAUAGAUCAAUACCAUUGACUACAUUUGCAUUGUUGUGCAACCAUCACCACCAUCUAUCUCCAGAGCUUUUUUUCAUUAUCCCAAACUGAAACUCUGUACCCACUGAACGCAUCAUUUUUUUUUUCUUGGAGACAGAGUCUGUCGCCCAGGCUGGAGUGCAGUGGCACGAUCUCAGCUCAUUGCAAUCUCCGCCUCUCAAGUUCAAGCGAUUCUCUUGCUUCAACCUCCUGAGUAGCUGGGACUAGGGAUGCCCGCCACCACGCCCGGCUAAUUUUUGUAUUUUUAGUACAAAUGAGGUUUUGCCAUGUUGGCCAGGUUGGUCUCGAACUCCUGACUUCAGGUGAUCCGCCUGCCUCGGCCUCCCAAAGUGUUGGGAUUGUAGGCGUGAGCCACCGCACCCAGCCAGUGAUUUUUAAAUAGUGAGUUUGUUUGUAUCAGAACAUGUAAGACUCAUAGAUUGCAUGUGCUUGAUAUCUCUUUUUAGUUCAUAGAUUUCCCUCUUUCUCUUUUUCACCCCUUUACAAUUUACUAUUGAGGAAAUUGGAUGUUUUGCUGUGGAUCUCACUGAUUGCACUGAUGUCAUUUAACAGAUUCCUCUGUAUUUCCUGCACACUGGUAGUUGGAUUGUGAAACUUCUUCAGAUUCAGGCUUGUUUUUUGUUGUUAGCCUGGCGUACUUUAUAGGCGGUGCUGCGUCAGAAGUCCCAGGGUGUCUUGUUGUCUCCCUUUUGGUGUGAGCUGCCAUUGAUGAUCAUGACCCAGAUCUUUUAAUUCAUUAGAGGGUUGCAAGAUGAUGAUAAUCUAUUUUUUUUCACUUAUGUGGAAUACACCUAUACCAGGAAACAUCCUAUCACCAACUAUGGAGUUACUUGGAGGCAUAGCUCAUUUAGGGACAGCUGGUUUUCGGAAUAAUACAUCUAGCAUCUUCAAAAUGCGACCACUGAAAAAAACAGGAGAGACAAAUUGAGUAGCUCCCAGGCUGAGGACUGGAAACAGUGCUGAGGUUGAGGACAGCCAGGCUACUGACAGCAAGCACAGAAGGUGCGGGGCAGAGGAGAGUCCUGCUUCUCUAACCCAGCUACUUGCGCUUUCCACUGGUCGGGGAUGUUGUGUGUGCUGGGGUUAUUUUAAGCCACACAGUGAAUGUGGUUCAUCUUCUGGGGGAUAUCAAUUUUACUUGAAGAGUGGGGGAAACGUUUUCUACACUCAAAUAAAUACAGAAACUUUAUGGAAUAAGGUAGAAAAAGCACAUGCAUUUUAAAGUGAAAAACAGAUUUUUCUCUUUUGCUGUAGGUCUUUUUAUGCAUGAUUUUCAGACCUCAGGGAUUUGUCUUCUAUCUUCUGCUUGUGGGAAGCGCUGCACCAGAACAUUGCUGUGGGUCUGUUCAGCCUGAAGGGCCACAGGCCGAGGAGACAGGCCAACUCUAGCCCCGGCAAGCAUGUCAGAGAAGCCGACUUGGCCUCCAGCACAGCACCCUGGGCCAGGAGCACAUUCUGGGUGUUGAGUGUACCCUGGACGACAUUGUUACAUGUGCUUUCCCAAAUCCACGGACUUCUGGCUGAUCCGGGGUUGCAAUAUGCACUGCACCACCAUCCUCUCUCUUGGAAAUUCCCUUCGGCUGGGAAAGAAAUGGAUGAUCAAGGGUCCAAUUAGAUAAACUCAUCCUCGCUGGCAGAUAAUGGCACCAAUGUGAUCAUCCUCCUAGAGGUAUUUUCAUCUUGGUAUGGAGCCUCCAGAGCUAUCUUUGCUUGAAAGAAUGAAACUUCAGGAAUGAAAGUUUGCACAUAAAGCAAGCCCAUGAGAAAGACAUUUCGGGAAAACUAGAAUCCUGUUAAGUUAUGGGAUUUUUUUCAAGCCACAUGGUUGAUAAGUAGUCUGACCAGGAUCCUGGAGCAACACAAGGAAGACAAGGACCCUUGAAGACAAGGCAGCCUUGAAACCAAAUGAAGCCCUGGGCCAGUGAGCAUGGCAAGAGGAAGACUGUUAAUUGCGAGAAAGCUGGGUCUUGAAGAUGAUUCCAUAUCAACAUACAGGGAGUUCCACCACUGAAUGGUCUAUCGGUUGGGAAUGCCAUCAUUUAUUUUCACCAGUGGGGAAGAAUUGGUAUUAAUAUCAAAACCACAGUACUGUCAUACCCAGCUAUAAUUUGCAAUGUUUAUAUGCCUGUACGAAUGAAUAAUUAACAGUUAAAUGAAUCAAUAUAUAUCUAUCUAUGUGUAGGAAUAUCUAAUCUAUAAUAUAUGCUCGCGUAAGUGGUAAUUAAUCUCUUUUUUGAGACAGGGUCUUUCUCUGUCAUACAGGCUGGAGUGCAAUGACAUGAUUAUGGACCUUCAGGGAUUGAGCAGCUCGACAUCCCAAGGAUCAAGCAAUCCUCCGGCCUCAGCCUACCAAGUAGCUGGGACUACAGCCAUUUGACACCCCACCCAGUUAAUUUUUGUUUUUUGUUUUUUUGUAAAGACAAGGUUUAGCCAUGUUGCCCAGGCUGGUCUGGAACCCCUGGGUUCAAGCAAUCCUCCCACCUCAGCUUCCCAAAGUGCUGGGAUUAUAGGCAUAAGCCACUGCACCCAGCAUAAAUAAUCUCUUAUUUGUUCAUCCAUGGUGUUGUCUUUAGUUUUUAAAAAUGGAUCCUUUUGUUAUUCUUUUAUAGCCCCAGAUUAAGAAUUUGUCCAAGUUUUGUAUAUUUUUUCAGUUAUUUCAAUAUCAAAGCCCAGCACAUCUUUAAAAUCACUUCUAUGUAUAGAUAUUAACCUUUUUGACAUUUGUGUUUUGGUAUUCCAUAUUUACUCAGUUCUCCUUUCACACCCUCCCUUUAGAAGAGGAGUAUGACCAUGGCAGGAUGGAGGGGUAGUGGCAGUAGGGGCCAUAGUAUGUUUUCUAUAUUUAUCCAGCAUAUUUAAAACAUGGUAUUCUAGCUUCAAGGGAGAACAUUGAACUCCCAUUUGGACAUGUUAAGUUGAAGAUGUCUGUUAGACACCCAAGAGAAUAUGUCAAGCAGAUAUCAUCUGCCCUUGUUUUUCCUUUUCCAAACUGGCUCUCCUUAGUUCCAUCUCCAGAUGACAUGGUCCUCAAACCCUUUGUGAUCUUGGUUCUCUACUCCAGUUCUUCAAUGUUUUUCUUGAAUGUGGCACCCAGAAUUAAAUAGAGCACCCCAGAUAAUGGCUGCCCAGCAGGAUAGACAUGUGUUUGUUAUAUAAUUCUUAGAGACUAUAGCUGACGUCACUGGUGCCCAGCCCAUAUCUUCUUGAGCCCUAGCAUUUUCGUGCAUGGUGGCCUGAUUUCUAACUGUCAGCACCUAAAUAUCUUUGCCUGAGGACUUUCUCUGUCGGCCAGAGCCUGCUUUGUGCACAGUCAGAAGUGCCAAGGAGUCAACACUCCCCAAAGGAGUCUUCAGCCAGUAACGAAAUGAAAGGUGGAGUAUAAAAACCCCAGCUCCCUCACCACUCAGCUGGGGUAGCCCUGAGAUUCAUGCUCUCCACCCUCUUCAGAGUUUCCCGGCAGCAUCAUGUUCCUGUUACCCUUCUCACUACUGACUUGAUGCUCAUCCUUUCUUGGCUCCUUCCCUGUGUCACUUCCCCCAUCCCAUAUGGGAGAAGGCUUCCUGGGUUCACCUUCCAAAGUAAUUACUGGUACUGGAAUUCUCAUCUCAAGUUUUGCCUUAGGGUCACCCAAACUAAGACAGUGCCUAAUGCUGCAUCAGCUUUCUUACCAGUCACAUGAUGCUGUUGUAUCCUUAAUGUCAGAUAAACUCCCAGCUUCUUUUUAUGUCAACUGCUACCAAGCCACACAUUCUCAGUGCUGUGCCUUUGUUAUUGAUUUUUUAACCUAAACUCAGAGUUUAUGUUUAUUCCUGUUAUACUCUUAAGUUUUUUUCCAUAUUCCAACCUAACAGAAUAACUUUGAAUAUUGAUUUGUUCUUUCGUUGUGUUAACUAUCCCUUCCAGACAUGAGUCAUAUGUAGAAAUCUGAUAAGCAUGUUUCCUGUGCCUUCAUUCACUUAAAACAAACAAACAAACAAACUUUGAACAAGGUAGGGUUAGGAAAAGAAUUCUAAACUCAAUUCCUCCCAUUGUUCAAUAAUCAAGAUUCUUUCAGUAAGAAUGCUUAUUGGUAGUGAUUCAAACUAUCUGCACCAGUUCAACCCAGAAUUUACAAAUUUGCCCAUAGGAAUAUCAGGCAAGCUCAGCUCAGUUGCUUUGCUAGAAUAGAGAAGAUCCACAAUUAUGUCAUGCCUCUGAUACAUGAGCCUAUAACCUUAUCAGAAAGGAAAUAUGGUUCAUUUGGCUUGUUAUUAGCAAUUUUAUUUUAACCACUAAGAACCUCUGAAUUCAUUUCUAAAACCCUCCAAUCUUCCUUUUAUUUUCUUUUAUUUAUAUAUAUAUAUUUUUAUUUUAUUUUACUUUAUUUUUGAGACAGAGUCUCACUCUGUCACCAGGCUGGAGUGCAGUGGCAUGAUCUCGGCUCACUGCAACCUCUGCAUCCCGGGUUCAAGCAAUUCCUCUGCCUCAGCCUCCCAAGUAGCUGGGAAUACAGGUGCACACCACCAUGCCCAGCUAAUUUUUGUAUUUUUAGUAGAGAUGGUGUUUCACCAUGUUGGCCAGGAUGGUCUCGAUCUCUUGACCUUGUGAUCUGCCCACCUCGGCCUCCCAAAGUGCUGGGAUUACAGGCGUGAGCCAUCACGCCUGGCCUCCAAUCUUCCUUUUAAUAAUUUGAUCUGGAAUUUUAUCAGGGAGCUAUGCAUGCAUGUCAGGGGAGAUCAAGUUUAUGGUUUCCAGAAUCUACACUUUCUUUUUGAGAAUGGGAACUUUUGCCAGUACAUUGUUUUCCUAUCCUCAUUUCCAUAAUUUCUCAACAACAGUAAGUAGUUUUAAGGUCACAUUUGCAAGUUUUUUGAGGAGCCUGGGAUGUAACUUUUCUGGAGACUUCAACCUACUUUAAAUGGUCACAUGCCCCCUGUGUCCCUCACUGCCUCCCUUCUGCUGAGCUCUCCCCAGUCCUGGGAAGGCUGAUUCUUUAGCUAGAGAACCCAGACCAGCCCUGUGGCCUCAUAUUUCCACAUCAGCCUUCUUGAAUCUGUGUUCCUCCCCCCUCACUUAUCUUUUUACAUCAAACACAUGGCUCAAAGCUUUUGAUAUUUGACUUGACUCUUCAGGACCCCAAGCUCCUCUGACUCAGCCCUCCACCCCCCACCCCUAACCCACGGCCCACUCUGCUUGAGGGCUCCCCAAAACCUCAAACUCCACCGUAAGCUCCCUGAGCAGCCACAAGGAUUUUGGGGUUUGGUUUGGUUUUGCCUCUUACUCCCUUUUCAUUUUCCCUGGCAUCAUUCACAUUCACCAAUCAGAUUCAUUUUUAUCAUCUCCUAUUCCUCAUGAGAAAUACAUUUUUUUAUAACCUUUUACCUUGAAUUCAAAUCCAUUUUUCCUCUGAAGCACCUGAGGUGAGGUGGGUAUCUCCUCUUGUCCUAAUCUUAUCCACAUGCCAUGAUAUGGUUUGUCUGUGUCCCUACCCAAAUCUCAUCUUGAAUCAUAGCUCCUGUAAUCCCCAUGUGUUGUGGGAAGAACCUGGUGGGAGGUAAUUGAAUCAGAGGGGUGGGUUUUUCCCAUGCUGUUCUUGUGAUAAUGAAUAAGUUUCAUGAGAUCUGAUGGUUUUAUAAAGGCGAGUUCCCCUGCAAAAUGCUCUCUUUCCUGCCACCAUGUAAGAUGUGACUUUGCUUCUCCUUUGCUUCCACCAUGAUUGUGAGUCCUCCCCAGCCAUGUGGAACUGUGAGUCAAUUAAACCUCUUUCCUUUAUAAAUUACCCAGUCUCAGAUAUGUCUUUAUUAGCAGCAUCAAAACAGACUAAUACACACCACCAGUUUUCCUCCUGCAUGUUCCUCAGUUCUGCUAGAACUGUAAAAAGAUGGAUUCCAUAGACUGGAGUCACCCUGAGGGCAGGGAUGGACCCCUAU
rnacentral:lncRNA from 1 species